rnacentral:rRNA from 1 species
CAGCCGCCGCGGGAAAACGUAGGGUGCAAGCGUUAAUCGGAAUUACUGGGCGUAAAGCGUGCGCAGGCGGUUAUAUAAGACAGAUGUGAAAUCCCCGGGCUCAACCUGGGAACUGCAUUUGUGACUGUAUAGCUAGAGUACGGCAGAGGGGGAUGGAAUUCCGCGUGUAGCAGUGAAAUGCGUAGAUAUGCGGAGGAACACCGAUGGCGAAGGCAAUCCCCUGGGCCUGUACUGACGCUCAUGCACGAAAGCGUGGGGAGCAAACAGGAUUAGAUACCCCAGUAGUCCCUGUCUCUUAUAC